GAGCGUUGUCCGGAUUUAUUGGGCGUAAAGCGAGCGCAGGCGGUUUGAUAAGUCUGAAGUUAAAGGCUGUGGCUCAACCAUAGUUCGCUUUGGAAACUGUCAAACUUGAGUGCAGAAGGGGAGAGUGGAAUUCCAUGUGUAGCGGUGAAAUGCGUAGAUAUAUGGAGGAACACCGGUGGCGAAAGCGGCUCUCUGGUCUGUAACUGACGCUGAGGCUCGAAAGCGUGGGGAGCGAACAGGAUUAGAUACCCUGGUAGUCCACGCCGUAAACGAUGAGUGCUAGGUGUUGUCUGUAUCGACCCGGACAGUGCCGUAGCUAACGCGUUAAGUAUCCCAACGACCAAAAACCCAUCGUCACUCAGUCAGUGUUAAUAAAAUCCCCCUGACUGGGAAAGUUCAAGACAAGAUGGAACUAUAUCUGAUCGCAACUGAGUUGCAG
rnacentral:rRNA from 1 species